rnacentral:rRNA from 1 species
AGUACAGACGAGUUUGAUCCUGGCUCAGAACGAACGCUGGCGGCAUGCCUAACACAUGCAAGUCGAACGAACCCUUCGGGGUUAGUGGCGCACGGGUGCGUAACGCGUGGGAACCUGCCUUUAGGUUCGGAAUAACAGUUAGAAAUGACUGCUAAUACCGGAUGAUGUCUUCGGACCAAAGAUUUAUCGCCUUUAGAUGGGCCCGCGUUGGAUUAGCUAGUUGGUGGGGUAAAGGCCUACCAAGGCGACGAUCCAUAGCUGGUCUGAGAGGAUGAUCAGCCACACUGGGACUGAGACACGGCCCAGACUCCUACGGGAGGCAGCAGUGGGGAAUAUUGGACAAUGGGCGAAAGCCUGAUCCAGCAAUGCCGCGUGAGUGAUGAAGGCCUUAGGGUUGUAAAGCUCUUUACCAGGGAUGAUAAUGACAGUACCUGGAGAAUAAGCUCCGGCUAACUCCGUG